CCCGCGACCCGGCAAACUGCCGGGAGAGGGAAGUUGUUGAUGCGAAGAGGGAGCAGCAGAACCUGCGCCCCUGCCACACCCGUGACACCGGCUCCCUCCACCUACAGAAAGGAGAAAACAAAAACAAACUAGGGCCCAGCAGGCUGGUGAGCAGAAAGGAACUGCUGCAGGCGCCACGCCCUGCGGCCAGUAACCGUGGGGGUCCGCACCCAAACCACCUAGGUGGUGAAGGUCGGGCCCUGGGUAAUAACAGACUGGGCGCCCCCAGAGCAAGGCGGGGACCCCGCGGAGACCCGCAAACAGCCAAGGGCAGCCGGGAGCAAGGGAUGCACCGGCGGGUGCGGCUGCCCAGGUCCCAGCCCGCGCCCUGGGGCUGUGGGGAGACGCGGGAGCCGGCACUGGGGGAAGACAAUCAGCAUCAUCCUGCUCCAGUUACAAAAUCUCCAAGGACCUGGACUCCUUCUCCCCAGGCCCCUGGAUGGGAGUGUGAUGCCCCUCACCCUCCUGCUGCUGCUCUGGGGGCCCCUGGCCCUGAUGGAGACCUGGGCGGGCCCAUCUCCCUGGGCCCUGGGCCCACGCUGAGAGGAGGGUCAGCCCGGGUCUCCCUCCCGCCCCCAAGCUCCCACUCCCUGAAGCUUUUCUACACCGCCAUGUCCUGCAAUGGCAAUGGCAACCACAACCACAAUGGGAAGCCCUGCUACAUCGCCGUGGGCUACGUGGAUGACACGCAGUUCGGGCGGUUCAACAUCAGCUCUCGGGGCCAGAGUGUGGAGCCAAGGGCGCCCUGGGCGGGGCAGGUGGGGCAGGAGGAGCAGGAUGAGGAGACUCGGAACCAAAGGAACAGCGCACAGUGGUUCGAAGCGCUCCUGAGGGACCUGCGCGGCCGCUACAAGCAGAGCGAGGACGAGUCUCACACCCUCCAGAGGAUGUUUGGCUGUGAAGUGGGCCCAGACCUGCGUCUCCUCGGCGGGUAUGACCAGUUCGCCUACAACGGCGCGGAUUUCAUCUCCCUGAGCGAGGACCUGCGCUCCUGGACCCCCGCGGACUCGGUGGCUCAGAUCACCCAGCGCGAGUGGGAGGCGCAGGGGAGGGCCGAGCACGUCAGGCACAGUGUGCAGAGCAGGUGCUUCCUGUGGCUCCUCAGAUUCCUGAGUCUGGGGAAAGAGGUGCUGCAGCGCACAGAGCCGCCCAAAACACAAGUGACCCAAAACCCCACCUCUGACCAGAAGGUCACACUGAAGUGCUGGGCCCUGGGCUUCUACCCUGCGGACAUCACCCUGACCUGGCAGCGUGAUGGGGAGAACCUGACCCAGGACACAGAGCUGGUGGCGACCAGGCCUGGGGGGAAUGGAACCUUCCAGAAGUGGGCGGCUGUGGUGGUGCCUUCUGGAGAGGAGCAGAGAUACACAUGCCAUGUGCAGCAUGAGGGGCUCUUGGAGCCUACAGUCCUGACUUGGGUGCCCCCUCCUCAGUCCUCCAUCCCCAACACGGGCCUCAUUGUUGGCCUGGUUCUCCUUGGAGCUGUGCUCACUGGAGCUGCGGUGGCUGCAGCUGUGAGGUGGUGGAGGAAGAAGCGCUCAGGGGGACAAGCAAUCAGCGACACUCAGGGUGCAGGUGUUUUUCUGAGGGAACAACACUCCCCAGAUACGUCAGGUCGUCCUAGACGUCGGAACAAUUUACGAUCACAAACCAGAAUGACCCUGCGGAGCGACUCCCACCAAACACUGUGACCUUCUGCAGCCCUGCUCCAAACACAACCCGGAAGCUGGUUGAGGUGAUCUACCUGCUCUGAAAGCUGUCUCUGUGGCUGCCUCUGCCGCCGAACGUCAGUGAACUUACUGAAAAGAGGGAGGCUUUUACUCAGACACAUAGUAUAUCCGAGUGAAUAAGACCCCCUUCUUCUGUGCGCUGGACUGGACAGUCAAUGACGGUCAAGGAUAGGAUCCUUGCCAGAGCGCCGCAGGCUUGCUGAUAAAGGAUCAUCAGUUCGAGAAGGCCAGGAAAUCCCACAUAGUUUCAAUUCCCUGGUCCGGGACUUAUACGGACAGACCUUAGCUAAGACGUCUCAGAGUUCCCGCGAGGGACGCGAGCCGGCCAGCGCUAGUGUGUGACCCCGUCUAUAUAAACAUGGGACGAUUGCAAACUAAGAAUAGAGACCUCUUUCUCUCCAUUCUGGGCCAUAUGCUCGAAGGAAGAGGAAUGAAAACUCAAUAUGGCCCAUAACUUCUCAAGAUAAGACACCCACUCGUCUAGUUUUGAAUUACUGCUCCUUCUCACUCCGCCUAUCUCUACAGAGGGGUUCCAGUACCCUUGAGCAGAUCCUAGCAGUUCCCUGAUCUCUCCGAAAUUUUUAGUAUGAAAAAUGCUGACCUGUCAGGUCCCUGUUUGGGCGCCACCUGCUGAAGACCAGCCUCGGCAAACUGGGUGUCAGGGGUUCCUGAAGGAUAGGAUGGCGUCGGCGCAAUUGAGGAAUGGAUCAGGGACUCUUGACACGACAUUCUGCUGAAGAGGGUCUCCAGCAGGUUGGCCUGUGCACGGUGGACGCUCGUGGAGCAUCACAGGCAGAAUGCUUAGGGACUGCUUGGUUGGACCCCAGUGUUGGCUGCUUCUCUUAUUUCUCUUGGUGGGACAGCAUCACCACACUGUGCCUUGGCUCACACCUGUCCUGGGUCCACUGGUCUCCAUUCUUGUGAUGCUUGCCCUUGGGCCUUGUCUUUUAAUCUGGUCAUGUGGCUUAUCCAGUUCUGUUUGAAGGCUACUAAACUCCAAAUGUUAGUUAGACAAUAUGCGCCCUUAGACUCCUUUCCUGCUGCUUGCUAUGAGUCCAUACCUUGAUACUGUCUAGCACAUAAUAGGAGUAUCAAAAGGGGGCAAAUGAAACAAAGUUUCCCAAGUCUGCUGCUUGGGGGAGUCUACCACUCUGAUCCUUCUUGCUGAAGCGAAGAAGUUGCUGGGUGUACUGCACUGCUUGUCCGUGACCCUCUUCCUGAACAAUAAAGAAUGCUUAUGUUAUGAAGCAUGGGAUAUCAAGUUUCCUCAUACAAACUGUAUAAAACCCUGCUAUUCUUGUUCUUGGGUGCUCAGCUCUUUGGGGAGCAAUCCCACUGUGUCCACUGGUGUGACAAUUAAAGCUCUCUCCAACUCUCUGAGUGCUGUCUGAUUUCUCUGGGAAAUUGCUGUAACAAAACCACUUCAUGUCUGUGAGAACGGCCUAUAUCAGAAAGACGAGACAUUAACAAGUACUGGUGGGGACCUGUCGAAUAGGAAACAGUUCUACAUUGUUUUGGGAAUGUAGAUUGGUUGGGUUUUGAUGGAAACAGUAUCAAGGUUUCUGCAAAUAGCCAAAUCUCUCUUGACUAAAAAGAAGGAGAAUGGAGGCAUCACACUCCCACACUUCAAACUGUACUAUAAAGCCAUAAUAAUUAAAACAGUAUGAUACUGGAACAAAAACAUACACACAGACCAAUGGCAUUGAAUAGAAAACCCAGAAAUAAAUCAU